AAAGAUCACCCCCACCAAAUCUCCACGUCCAAGAAUAGAGAAACCCGUCACCAAAUCUCCACAUCUCCGGCCAAGCAACCCGCAACAUAUAUACUCCACAUCUCUGGCCGAGCAAGAAGUGCGAAACCCAACUCCCACAACAGCGAAACCCGAGACCAAUAUUCCACCAUCGUCGGCCAAGCGGGAGUCCAAUUCCCACAACGAAAGGUCAGCCAUUUAAGCUUUUUUGUCGAGCAUUAUAGCCAUUUGGUCGCUAGACAAAUUCUAGGAUUUUAGCUAUUUGGUCCAUUCACAAGUUUUACUUUUUUUGCUGAAUGUAGCACAGCACACAGGACUUCAGGCCGAGGACAUCCGUUACGUGGAGUAAUUUUGGUAUGUAUAACAGAAUUUGGCUAUCAAAUCAUCAAUUGUCACAGAAAUCACUGCCUUUGGGCUGCAAAUGUGAAUUAUAUUGUUUAUGUCGUAUUUUCUGUACUUUUAUGUAAGUUUGGGUGAUGUAUAUGAAAUUCUGCUUGUUGAUUAAUUCUGCAAUUACCAUUUCUACAUUGAGUUAAUCUGAUAGCUUGUUUGUUGGGGGGAGCGCAUUACCUAUGAAAUUUCAUGUUUUAGAUAUUUGGUGCGUUUUAGCUAAUCGGAGGGAUACAUGCGAAGUGAUUUGUAGGAUUUUAGCUAUUUGUUGUGGAGCCAUUUAGCUGUUUUGUCCAUUUCCCCCAACACAACCUAGGAUUGCAUAAUUUCUUCGACAGAAUUGUAUUAUUUUGUAGUUGUUUGAGUUGAAUUACAGUAGUUUGAGUUGAAUUACAGUACAAAUUGUUUGGAUGGAGUCGUAUUAUUUUGUGGUUCUUUGAGUUGAAUUAUAGAUUGUGGCUGUACAUUACACAUUCACUUGUGAUAAUGAUGAAUUUUGUGGCAGGAAUUCCGUUGUACAAAAGCUUGAUGUGAAUGAUAUGGCAGGAAUUCCCUUGCACAAGAAUUAUAACUCCGCAGUUAUGGAAACUGGUGGAUAUGAGAAUACUGCUUUUGUGGAAAAGAAUUGUCAGAAUUACAUUGAACAGGUGAGACGAUUAUGCCUUGGAGAAGAAGAUGCCCUCGCAAUACAAGCGUACUUUUCAAAGAUGCAAGCACGGUACUCAGGAUUUUACUAUAGUAUGAACUUUGACAAGGAAUGCAGGCUAAAGAAUAUUUUUUGGGCAGAUCACAGAUGUAGGCAGUCUUACAAAGAGUUCGGUGAUGUCGUCACUUUCGAUACUACGUAUCUCACUAAUAAGUAUGACAUACCGUUCGUUUCUUUUGUUGGGGUGAAUCAUCAUGGACAAUCCAUAUUGCUGGGCUGUGGACUAUUAUCGAAUGUGGACAUCGGGACUUUUGUGUGGUUGUUCAGAACAUGGUUUGAGUGCAUGUAUAGACAAGCUCCUAAUGGAAUCAUUACUGAUCAAGACUGUGCAAUGAAAAAUGCAAUUGAGAUAGUUUUUCCUAACACGAAGCAUAGAUGGUGUUUGUGGCAUAUUAUGAAAAAGUUGCUGGAAAAGUUCGGAUAUCACGUUCAUAAGAGCUCGAUAAUUUCUACAAUACAUGGAUUGGUAUAUGAUUCCGAAAAUGGGCAAGAAUUCGAAGAAGGUUGGAGGUUGAUGCUCGAUACGUAUGACUUGCACAAUAAUGAUUGGUUAUCGGGGUUGUACGAGAACAGAGGUAGGUGGGUGCCUUGUUUUUUGAAAACCACGUUCUGGGCCGGCAUGUCGACUACACAACAAAGUGAGAGUAUGAAUGCAUUUUUCGACGGGUAUGUGCAUUCAAAGACUUCACUAAAGCAGUUUGUCGAGCAGUACGAGAGAGCACUGAGAAAUAAGGUUGAGAAGGAGUUUCAGGCUGAUUUUAAGUCCUACUCCCAAAUGGAGCCUUGUGCGACAACUUUCGAAAUAGAAAAGCAAUUUCAAGCAAUCUAUACCAUUUCAAAGUUUAAAGAAGUUAAAGAGGAGUUCACUGGGAAGAUAUAUUGCGAUGUCAUAUCUGAAACUGCAAAUGAUUCUUUUUGGUCGACGUAUGAGGUUCGUGAGCAUGUCACACUUCAUGAUCAUCGGAAGAAAAAAACAUUUUGCAUAUCAUUUCGGAGAGAUACUUGCGAAGUGAUUUGUAGCUGCCAUCUUUUUGAAUUUCGAGGAAUCAUUUGUAGGCAUGCAAUUGCAGUCUUGAUUCGUAACAACAUCACAUCGAUACCUGAGCGGUAUAUAAUAAGGAGAUGGAGAAGAGAUGUCAGUAGAGUAUACACGAGGAUCGCAGUAAAUUAUGAUGGAAUGGUAAGUACUCCUAGACAGUUGAGGUACGACGAAAUGUGUCAGGCUUUUUCGGAGUUGGCGAACCUCGCAGCAAAUGAUGAAGGAUGGACACGUAAUAUAAUGGAGUGGAUAAAAUCGCAAGCCAAAGAUUUACGGAGGACAAAGUCAAGUGUCGGAAGCGCUGACCAGUCCCAGAAUGGAAGUAGCAAUGCAAACAUAUUAGAUUCAAUAUCGUGUAACAGAAAGGGCUCAUCGAAGAAACUUCGGAGGAAAAACACAUUAGAGUCUAGUUCAAAGAGAGUAAAGGUAAUUUUUAACUAUUACCAUCUUCGUUGAUUGGGUAUUUUAAACAAAUAAUCGUUUCACUUGUUCAACAUGCAGGCUGCCACAUCAUCAAGCAAAGGAAAGAGGCCUACAGCUAGGCAUAGUAAUACAGAAGAGAGAGCAAUCGAUGUCCGGGCAGCGAAACUACCACAAUGUUCUAUGCCGAUGCCAUUACAAUAUUUCAUCCGUCCGACACCUGCAAAUGUUGUAGUCAAUGCUCAAGGUAUGUAGAUCGAGCGAGUUUCGUAUUGUAUUCAUUUAGUGUAAAGUGGGAUAGAAUAGCAUAUUAGAUAUAGUCUAAAGUGGGAUAGGAAAUUAAAACUGAUUUGGGUUUCUUAGGCAUUUAUGUACGCAACAUGUCAUUUAUUUGUGUUCUAACUUUUUACUUUCGAAAACAGGUCUAAUCAUGCCAUACUUCUAUACACAUUUACCUAAUCAAGGUGGCAAGGGCUUGUGAUCCUCGUUCGGAAGGUUUUUUUAUACCAAUGUUUUUUUAUAUUUAUAUCUAAUAUUUCUUUAUCAUAUCCAUGAGUGAUGUUUACAAUUGUCUUAUCAUCAUUGGCCUAGCAAAGGUGCAAGCAUUUUGAAAUUGGUGGAGACAAGAAAGGAAAGGGAACCUCUCUGUUCUAGGAAUGCUUUUGUGGAAACUGAAAUGCCUUCCAGUUGUUUUGUUAUUGUAAAAG
rnacentral:lncRNA from 1 species